rnacentral:lncRNA from 1 species
UCCGAGUCCGGCGGACGAAGUUGGCCAGCCCCACCCCCCAAGGGUAUAGCCCACCCGUUUUUGUGGCCUUUUUCCGCUGGACGAAUUUGGCGCCCCGGCCUUCGGGCGGUUAUUUUUGGGUACGGCUGUGUCCGCGGCCUAUUUUGGGCACACGGAGGCCCCUCGCAAAGUCUCGCGGCAUUCCGAGUCCUGCGGACGAAGUUGGCCAGCCGCACCCCCCAAGGCUAUAGCCCACCCGUUUUUGUGGCCUUUUUCCGCUGGACAAACUUGGCGCCCCGGCCUUUGGUCGGUUAUUUUUGGGCGCGGCUUUUCCCGCGGCCUUUUUUUGGCACACGGAGGCCCCUCGGAAAGUCUCGCGGCAUUCCGAGUCCGGCGGACGACGUUGGCCAGCCCCACCCCCCAAGGCAAUAGCCCACCCGUUUUUGCGGCCUUUUUCCGCUGGACGAACUUUCCGCCCCGGCCUUCGGGCGGUUAUUUUUGGGCGCGGUUUGCCUUCAGCCUAUUUUGGGGACACGGAAGCCCCUCGCAAAGUCUCGCGGCAUUCCGAGUCCGGCGGACGAAGUUGGCCAGCCCCACCCCCCAAGGCUAUAGCCCACCCGUUUUUGUUGCCUUUUUCCGCCGAACGAACCUGGCGCCCCGGCCUUCGCGCGGUUAUUUUUGGGCGCGGCAUUGCCCGCAGCCUAUUUUUGGCACACGGAGGCCCCUCGCAAAGUCUCAUGGCAUUCCGAGUCCGGCGGACGAAGUUGGCCAGCCCCACCCCCCAAGGCUAUAGCCCACCCGUUUUUGUGGCCUUUUUCCGCUGGACGAACUUGGCGCCCCGGCAUUCGGGCGGUUAUUUUUGGGUACGGCUGUGCCCGCGACUGAUUUUUGGUACACGGAGGCCGCUCGCAAAGUCUCGCACCAUUCCGAGUCCGGCGGACGAAGUGGGCCAGCCCCACCCCCCAAGGCUAUAGCCCACCCGUUUUUGUGGCCUUUUUCUGCUGGACGAACUUGGCGCCCCAUCCUUUGGGCGGUUAUUUUUGGGUGUGGCUGUGGCCGCGGCAUAUUCUUGGCACACGGAGGCUGCUCGCAAAGUCUCGCGGCAUUCCGAGUCCGGCGGACGAAUUUGGCUAGCCCCACCCCCCAAUGCUAUAGCCCACCCGUUUUUGUGGCCUUUUUUCGCUGGACGAACUUGGCGCCCCGGCCUUCUGGCGGUUAUUUUUAUGCGCGGCUGUGACCACGGCCUAUUUUUGGCACACGGAGGCACCUCGCAAAGUCUCGCGCCAUUCCGAGUCCGGCGGACGAAGUUGGCCAGCCCCACCCCCCAAGGCUAUAGCCCACCCGUUUUUGUGGCCUUUUUCCGCUGGACGAACUUGGCGCCCCGGCCUUCGGGAGGUUAUUUUUGGGUACGGCUGUGCCGGCGACCUAUUUUUGGUACACGGAGGCCGCUCGCAAAGUCUCGCACCAUUCCGAGUCCGGCGGACGAAGUUGGCCAGCCCCACCCCCCAAGGCUAUAGCCCACCCGUUUUUGUGGCCUUUUUCCGCCGGACAAACUUGGCGCCCCGGCCUUCGGGCGAUAAUUUUUGGGCGCGGCUUUGCCCGCAGCCUUAUUUUUGGCACACGGAGGCCCCUCGCAAAGUCUCGCGCCAUUCCGAGUCCG